rnacentral:rRNA from 1 species
GUACACACCGCCCGUCAAGCCACGAGAGCCGGGAGUGCCCGAAGUCGCUCACCCAACCAGCAAUGGAGGGAGGCGCCGACGGCAAGCUCGGUGAUUGGGACUAAGUCGUAACAAGGUAGCCGUAGGUGAACCUGCAGAAGGAUCA